GCCUAACACAUGCAAGUCGAACGAGAACGGGUUAAAGUUUACUUUAACUGUCAGCUAAGUGGCGCACGGGUGAGUAAUAUAUAGUUAAUCUGCCCCAAAGAAGAGAAUAAUUGUUGGAAACGACUUGUAACUCUCUAUAUGCCUUUAUUACAUAAGUAAGCAAGGGAAACAUUUAUGGCUUUGGGAUGAGACUGUACGGUAUCAGUUUGUUGGUAAGGUAAUGGCUUACCAAGACUAUGACGCCUAACUGGUUUGAGAGGAUGAUCAGUCACACUGGAACUGAGACACGGUCCAGACUCCUACGGGAGGCAGCAGUGGGGAAUAUUGCACAAUGGAGGAAACUCUGAUGCAGCAACGCCGCGUGGAGGAUGACACAUUUCGGUGCGUAAACUCCUUUUAUAUGAGAAGAUAAUGACGGUAUCAUAUGAAUAAGCACCGGCUAACUCCGUGCCAGCAGCCGCGGUAAUACGGGGGGUGCAAGCGUUACUCGGAAUCACUGGGCGUAAAGAGCAUGUAGGCGGAUAGAUAAGUUGGAAGUGAAAUCCUAUGGCUUAACCAUAGAACUGCUUCCAAAACUGUCUAUCUAGAAUAUGGGAGAGGUAGAUGGAAUUUCUGGUGUAGGGGUAAAAUCCGUAGAGAUCAGAAGGAAUACCGAUUGCGAAGGCGAUCUACUGGAACAUUAUUGACGCUCAGAUGCGAAAGCGUGGGGAGCAAACAGGAUUAGAUACCCUGGUAGUCCACGCCCUAAACGAUGCACACUAGUUGUUGCCUUGCUAGACAAGGCAGUAAUGCAGUUAACACAGUAAGUGUGCCGCCUGGGGAGUAC
rnacentral:rRNA from 1 species